rnacentral:lncRNA from 1 species
UCUGAAUGGGAAAUGACAAGAAAUCCCCUUUUUUUUUUUGGAAUCCCCUUGGACUUAGGUCUCCUGAGUCGAGUCAUUAAUUGUAGCCUACUUUCAAAUAGCAUGUGAUGAAGUUAACUGAGAAAGAACUGGGUGACGUUAUAGGAAACAUUCAUUUGUAGGAAAUAUUUCCUGGUUGUGUCGCCUGUCCCAGAGCGAAAUGAGUUGCCUCAGGAGGGAAGGUGUGUUUGAAGUCCCAGCAUGGAGACAGUAAGCAGGAGAUGGGCAAUGAUGUUCCAGGAUAUUUUUAAGGGAUUGUGUCUCGGGAACACUGUGGGAAUGGAGCUCAGGGGAGAGUGAGUAGAUCUGGACACAGAGGUUUAGGCAUAAUCUGUAAAAAGAUGGUCAUUGAACCCCCAAGAGGCAAUGAGAUGACGAAGACACUCAAAAAAUUGCUGAAUACCAGACAGAAAGCACUUGCUGUUCAUAUCAUUCAGCCAAUUCCUCCAAAGGGUUAUGUGUCCUCUACAAAAUACCCAUCAAAUGGCCUGCCAGGUCUUUGAAGAGCUUCAAUGGAGGUAAUCCAGGAUAUGAGCCCAGGCAGCCCAACCCCUUGGGUACAGCCUGAAUUAUUUGCAUGGUUUUCUUGGCUUCAACAUUCUCUUUUCUUCUUUUCACUGCCAGGCUUUUCCUAUUAGUUCUCCCCCCGUUUCCAGAUAGAAGAAAUGGAUUCUGUUUUCCAGGUGAAGGGCCUUCAAAUAUUUGAAGCCAGAUAUUAUGUUCCAUUGGAAUUUGUACCAAGUUCAAUAAGUCCCAACUUCCUUGAAGCCCUUAAAAGUACUUCCCUGAGAGUGCCUCUUGGACCCACCACUCCAGAUGUCACAAUGGGACUAUCUGUCAUGUAGGCCAUGCGCCACAGGGCCCAGAAGCACAAGGCAGGAGAGGCACCGAGAGCCCGAGGACAGGGCCUGAAGAAUGAAGUGGAUUUCCAUCAAGAAAGGUCGCUGGCUGGCUCAGCUCCCUUCACAGUUUCAGGUAUGUCUCCAACAUCCCUCCAUGAGAGUCUUCAAUGUUCACUUCAGGUCUUAUAUACUCCUGGCUCCAAAGCUUUCUGGACAUCCAUAAGCUCAAGGCCACAAGUCCCAAGAAAGAAUUCCAUUGCAUAAAGGUAUAUGCCUAUAAAUAUCAUCUCUCCAUUACAUGCAUUGCACGUAUGUAAGUGCCGAACUAGUAGCCGAGGAAUGUAAAGUGAUCUAAACAGAAAUCCUCAAUUUAUUCAUCGAUAAACAUCAUGUGGUCUGAGAAGCUAUAACUGGAUCACAGUUUGGGCAAGUAGCCCAUCUGCCAAGAGGUUUUACUGGGAUGUGCUCACUGUGCAUGUACAGCUUCUUGGAACCAUCAAUAUGUCUUAACAAUAUUGAGUACAUAGUGGCAGGGGCAUAGAGGAGGUCAGCCUUGUGGAGGUGUUUCUGAUGUACGGUAAUCAGUCUCUUCAGAUGCUAAAGAAGAAUGUGACCUCCAUAAUAGAGCAAAUGUGGGCUUAUAAGGACAGCUGGUCCCCAAGACUCUGUAGGUUCUGUAGGUUCCUCCUACUUAGCUUUUGGUCAGAGUUGAUCAAUAUCUGCAUGUUAUUCUUGAAGACAAGAUGGAGAGAUGUGCAUGGAAUAGAUGAUGUGAUCAUGAGUUGGCUUCAGGAACUAGUUGAAGAACUCUACUUGUAGAGUAAUCAUUGAUGAUUCAAUGUGACCUUGGAAGCAGGUCAUUAGUGAAAUACACUUGGCAGACAAUGGACUGUGCAAUCAUUCCCCCACGUUCAUUAACUAGUAGGUGAAACAAAGGUAAGUGAGGUGUUCUUGUGUAGAACGGUAGGCUGGACUUUUGGACCCCAAGUAAUCAUCCAAUUUAAUAGGAACACAUCAACUUCAGUCAAUCAUACGAAAUGCCCUCUAUAUGGCACAUACUAUGAAGAGAUUGGGGAGGCAUGGCAAGAUGGUUUAUCUGAAAAGACCCAUGCACACAUAUGUAUGCAUGCAUAUAUAUGUGCAUGUGUGUAGUAUGUGUUUAUAUAAAGCUAUCACAUCCCCAUAUAGA